UACGGAGGGAGCUAGCGUUGUUCGGAAUUACUGGGCGUAAAGCGCACGUAGGCGGAUUGCUAAGUCAGGGGUGAAAUCCUGGAGCUCAACUCCAGAACUGCCUUUGAUACUGGCAACCUUGAGUCCGGGAGAGGUGAGUGGAACUGCGAGUGUAGAGGUGAAAUUCGUAGAUAUUCGCAAGAACACCCGUGGCUAAGGCGGCUCUCUAGUACGGUACUGACGCUGAGACGCGAAAGCGUGGGGAGCGAACAGG
rnacentral:rRNA from 1 species